rnacentral:rRNA from 1 species
GACGAACGCUGGCGGCGUGCCUAAUACAUGCAAGUUGAGCGCUGAAGGUUGGUACUUGUACCAACUGGAUGAGCAGCGAACGGGUGAGUACCGCGUGGGGAAUCUGCCUUUGAGCGGGGGACAACAUUUGGAAACGAAUGCUAAUACCGCAUAAAAACUUUAAACACAAGUUUUAAGUUUGAAAGAUGCAAUUGCAUCACUCAAAGAUGAUCCCGCGUUGUAUUAGCUAGUUGGUGAGGUAAAGGCUCACCAAGGCGAUGAUACAUAGCCGACCUGAGAGGGUGAUCGGCCACAUUGGGACUGAGACACGGCCCAAACUCCUACGGGAGGCAGCAGUAGGGAAUCUUCGGCAAUGGACGAAAGUCUGACCGAGCAACGCCGCGUGAGUGAAGAAGGUUGUCGGAUCGUAAAACUCGGUUGGUAGAGAAGAACGUUGGUGAGAGUGGAAAGCUCAUCAAGUGACGGUAACUACCCAGAAAGGGACGGCUAACUACGUG